GGGGAUUUAGCUUAGUGGUGUAAGCGCUUGCCUGGCAAGCACAAGAUCAUGAGUUCAAUCCCCA
rnacentral:tRNA from 1 species